rnacentral:rRNA from 1 species
CAUGCCUUCCGCCAGAGAACUACAAGCAACAAGCUUAAAACUCAAAGGACUUGACGGUGUCCCACAUCGACCUAGAGGAGCCUGUCCUAUAAUCGAUACCCCCCGUUCCACCCAACCCAUACUAGCAUCAGCCUAUAUACCGCCGUCGACAGUCUACCUCAUGAGAGAAUAGUAGAUACAAUAGUUAACAACUAAUACGUCAGGUCAAGGUGUAGCAAAUGUAAGGGAAGAGAUUGGCUACAUUUUUUAUAUUAAAAAACACGAAAUGCACCAUGAAACAUUGCAUGAAGGCGAAUUUAGCAGUAAAACAAAUAAGAGUGUUUGUUUUAACACCGCUCUGGGACGCGU